rnacentral:rRNA from 1 species
AAAGCGAGCGGCGGAUGGGUGAGUAACACGUGGGGAACCUGCCCCAGUAGUCUAGGAUACCACUUGGAAACAGGUGCUAAUACCGGAUAAGAAAGCAGAUCGCAUGAUCAGCUUUUAAAAGGCGGCGUAAGCUGUCGCUAUGGGAUGGCCCCGCGGUGCAUUAGCUAGUUGGUAAGGUAAAGGCUUACCAAGGCGAUGAUGCAUAGCCGAGUUGAGAGACUGAUCGGCCACAUUGGGACUGAGACACGGCCCAAACUCCUACGGGAGGCAGCAGUAGGGAAUCUUCCACAAUGGACGCAAGUCUGAUGGAGCAACGCCGCGUGAGUGAAGAAGGUUUUCGGAUCGUAAAGCUCUGUUGUUGGUGAAGAAGGAUAGAGGUAGUAACUGGCCUUUAUUUGACGGUAAUCAACCAGAAAGUCACGGCUAACUACGUGCCAGCAGCCGCGGUAAUACGUAGGUGGCAAGCGUUGUCCGGAUUUAUUGGGCGUAAAGCGAGCGCAGGCGGAAGAAUAAGUCUGAUGUGAAAGCCCUCGGCUUAACCGAGGAACUGCAUCGGAAACUGUUUUUCUUGAGUGCAGAAGAGGAGAGUGGAACUCCAUGUGUAGCGGUGGAAUGCGUAGAUAUAUGGAAGAACACCAGUGGCGAA